CAGUGGUAUAUGGAUCAAAUGAUAGUGAUCAGAGGGGGACAAUGUGGAAGACUAUUCAGAAUCUGGCUACAGGUAUAACUAAUCCUUGGAUAAUUGCAGGAGAUUUCAAUGCCAUAUUGUCAAGUAAUGAUAGACAAUCAUGCCACCCAGUCAAGCAAGGAGAAACUGUGCAGUUUAAUAACUGCAUACAGUAAGCUGGCCCGGCUGAACUGCCAUGGAAAGGGGAGUUCUUUACCUGGACCAAUAAACAAAGUGGUAAUGAUGGAGUAUAUAGCAGAUUAGAUAGGGUGUUUGGCAAUUAUGAAUGGAUGAUGAAAUGGAACCAUGUACAUACUGUAUAUGGAGCUCCCUUUAUCUCUGAUCAUAAUCCCAUGCUAUUAACCCUAACUGAAGAUACUCAUAGCAGGAAGAUCCCAUUUAGAUUCUACAAUGCAUGGACUCAAAGUAAGGAUUUCCAAUCUUUGGUCAAAGCUAAAUGGAAAAGCACUGCUCAAUGUACCUUGCAAGGUGUAGUAAGGAAUUCCAAUCUUUGGUCAAAGCUAAAUGGAAAAACACUGCUCAAUGUACCUUGCAAGGUGUGUGGAAUAACCUUAUAGCCCUCAAGACUGCCUUAAAAUCUCUAAAUAUUAGAGAAUAUAAGGGUAUUACAUAGAAGAUUGAGAAUAGUAGAAAGGAACUGGAAGCUGUUCAACAACAGAUGGCCAUGUCAUAAACAGAUAACCUACAGCUGAGAGAAAAGGAACUGAUGCAGCAAUUAGAAAAAUGGUCUUUGCUUGAGGAAUCGGCACUGUAACAAAAAUCUAGAGCCAGAUGGAUCCAGCUAGGAGAUUUAAACAAUAAAUACUUCUCAGCAG
rnacentral:lncRNA from 1 species